GAUGAACGCUGGCGGCGUGCCUAAUACAUGCAAGUAGAACGCUGAAGCUUGGUGCUUGCACCGAGCGGAUGAGUUGCGAACGGGUGAGUAACGCGUAGGUAACCUGCCUCUUAGCGGGGGAUAACUAUUGGAAACGAUAGCUAAUACCGCAUAAAAGUCGAUAUCGCAUGAUGUUGAUUUGAAAGGUGCAAUUGCAUCACUAAGAGAUGGACCUGCGUUGUAUUAGCUAGUUGGUGAGGUAACGGCUCACCAAGGCGACGAUACAUAGCCGACCUGAGAGGGUGAUCGGCCACACUGGGACUGAGACACGGCCCAGACUCCUACGGGAGGCAGCAGUAGGGAAUCUUCGGCAAUGGGGGCAACCCUGACCGAGUAACGCCGCGUGAGUGAAGAAGGUUUUCGGAUCGUAAAGCUCUGUUGUAAGAGAAGAACGAGU
rnacentral:rRNA from 1 species